rnacentral:rRNA from 1 species
UACGUAGGGAGCAAGCGUUGUUCGGAUUUACUGGGCGUAAAGGGCGCGUAGGCGGCAAAUUAAGUCAGCUGUGAAAUCUCCGAGCUUAACUCGGAACGGUCAGAUGAUACUGCUUUGCUAGAGUGCAGAAGGGGCAAUCGGAAUUCUUGGUGUAGCGGUGAAAUGCGUAGAUAUCAAGAGGAACACCUGAGGUGAAGACGGGUUGCUGGGCUGACACUGACGCUGAGGCGCGAAAGCCAGGGGAGCAAACGGG